ACGCUCGACACCUACGGGAGGCAGCAGUGGGGAAUAUUGCACAAUGGGGGAAACCCUGAUGCAGCGACGCCGCGUGAAGGAAGAAGUAUUUCGGUAUGUAAACUUCUAUCAGCAGGGAAGAAAAUGACGGUACCUGACUAAGAAGCCCCGGCUAACUACGUGCAAGCAGCCGCGGUAAUCUGAGCGGGCUGGCAAGGC
rnacentral:rRNA from 1 species